rfam:Triticum aestivum genome assembly, contig: Triticum_aestivum_CS42_TGACv1_scaffold_030570_1BL
AUACUACUCUCUCUGUCCGGAAAUACUUGUCGUAGAAAUGGAUGUAAAUGGAUGUAUCUAUAACUAAAAUAUAUCUAGAUACAUCCAUUCCUCGGACAAGUAUUUUUGAACGGAGGGAGUACUUU